GGGGAUUUAGCUCAUUGGUAGAGCGCUUGCCUAGGAAGCGCAAGGCCCUGGGUUCGGUCCCCAGCUCCA
rnacentral:tRNA from 1 species